GGAUUGUAGGCUGCAACUCGCCUACAUGAAGUCGGAAUUGCUAGUAAUCGCGGAUCAGCAUGCCGCGGUGAAUACGUUCCCGGGCCUUGUACACACCGCCCGUCACACCAUGGGAGUCGGUAACACCCGAAGCCUGUAGUCUAACCGCAAGGGGGACGCAGUCGAAGGUGGGAUUGAUGACUGGGGUGAAGUCGUAACAAGGUAGC
rnacentral:rRNA from 1 species